rnacentral:rRNA from 1 species
UACGUAGGGUGCGAGCGUUGUCCGGAAUUAUUGGGCGUAAAGGGCUCGUAGGCGGUUUGUCGCGUCGGGAGUGAAAACAUCCAGCUUAACUGGGUGCUUGCUUUCGAUACGGGCAGACUUGAGGUAUGCAGGGGAGAAUGGAAUUCCUGGUGUAGCGGUGAAAUGCGCAGAUAUCAGGAGGAACACCGGUGGCGAAGGCGGUUCUCUGGGCAUUACCUGACGCUGAGGAGCGAAAGCCAGGGGAGCAAACGGG